CCUCCUUUUCUUAGCGGGAACUGGGCAUGCAGUCCUGGUCCCCAUUAUGUACAAACACAGAAGGAAUGGUUCCAGCCCCCUUGGAAUCAUGUCUUCCACCCCCUGGUUCUAUCUUCAAGCAAAUGG